rnacentral:misc_RNA from 1 species
GAUGAAGAACGCAGCGAAAUGCGAUACUUGGUGUGAAUUGCAGAAUCCCGUGAACCAUCGAGUCUUUGAACGCAAGUUGCGCCUCAAGCCAUUAGGUUGAGGGCACGUCUGCCUGGGCGUCACAUAUCGUUGCCUGAUGCCAGUUUCCUCGUGAUGGGUGACUGUGCAGGGCGAAUGAUGGCUUCCCGUGAGCAUUGUUGCCUCAUGGUUGGUUGAAAAUUGAGUCCUUGGUAGGGAGCGCCGUGAUAGAUGGUGGUUGAGUGACGAACGAGACCCAAUCAUGUGAGACCCCUACCGAAUUUGGCCUUCAUGACCCACAUGCGUCUUUGGAACGCUCAUGACGAGACCUCAGGUCAGGCGGGGCUACCCGCUGAACUUAAGCAUAUCAAUAAGCGGAGGA